rnacentral:rRNA from 1 species
UACGUAGGGUGCGAGCGUUAAUCGGAAUUACUGGGCGUAAAGCGUGCGCAGGCGGUCUGUUAAGACCGAUGUGAAAUCCCCGGGCUUAACCUGGGAACUGCAUUUGUGACUGUAGAGCUGGAGUGCGGCAGAGGGGAUGGAAUUCCGCGUGUAGCAGUGAAAUGCGUAGAUAUGCGGAGGAACACCGAUGGCGAAGGCAAUCCCCUGGGCCUGCACUGACGCUCAUGCACGAAAGCGUGGGGAGCAAACAGG